UUAGGAAUAUUGGACAAUGGGGGAAACCCUGAUCCAGCCAUGCCGCGUGUGUGAAGAAGGCCUUAGGGUUGUAAAGCACUUUCGGCUGUGAAGAUAAUGACAGUAGCAGAAGAAGAAGCUCCGGCUAAAUUCGUGCCAGCAGCCGCGGUAAUACGAAUGGAGCGAGCGUUGUUCGGAAUCACUGGGCGUAAAGCGUGCGCAGGCGGUCUUGAAAGUCAGAAGUGAAAGCCCAGGGCUUAACCCUGGAAUUGCUUUUGAAACUCCAAGACUAGAGUACUGGAGGGGUUGGCGGAAUUUCGAGUGUAGCAGUGAAAUGCGUAGAUAUUCGAAGGAACACCGAUGGCGUAGGCAGCCAACUGGACAGUAACUGACGCUCAUGCACGAA
rnacentral:rRNA from 1 species